rnacentral:rRNA from 1 species
UACAGAGGUCUCAAGCGUUGCUCGGAAUCACUGGGCGUAAAGCGCACGUAGGCGGGUCUUUAAGUCAGGGGUGAAAUCCUGGAGCUCAACUCCAGAACUGCCUUUGAUACUGGGGAUCUCGAGUCCGGAAGAGGUGAGUGGAACUCCGAGUGUAGAGGUGAAAUUCGUAGAUAUUCGCAAGAACACCAGUGGCGAAGGCGGCUCACUGGCCCGGUACUGACGCUGAGGUGCGAAAGCGUGGGGAGCAAACAGG